rnacentral:rRNA from 1 species
CCUACGGGGGGCAGCAGUGAGGAAUAUUGGUCAAUGGACGAGAGUCUGAACCAGCCAAGUAGCGUGAAGGAUGACUGCCCUAUGGGUUGUAAACUUCUUUUAUAAAGGAAUAAAACGAGGCACGUGUGCCGUUUUGCAUGUACUUUAUGAAUAAGGAUCGGCUAACUCCGUGCCAGCAGCCGCGGUAAUACGGAGGAUCCGAGCGUUAUCCGGAUUUAUUGGGUUUAAAGGGAGCGUAGAUGGGUUGUUAAGUCAGUUGUGAAAGUUUGCGGCUCAACCGUAAAAUUGCAAUUGAUACUGGCAGUCUUGAGUACAGUAGAGGUAGGCGGAAUUCGUGGUGUAGCGGUGAAAUGCUUAGAUAUCACGAAGAACCCCGAUUGCGAAGGCAGCUUACUAAACUGUGACUGACAUUGAGGCGCGAAAGUGUGGGUAUCAAACAGGAUUAGAUACCCCAGUAGUC